GGGGCAGUGGCAAGGGGCUGAAGGAGAGCGACCCUUCUGCGUGUCCCUGCAGGUACCGUCCCGCUGCAGACCCUGCGCUGCUACAAUGACUACACCAGCCGCCUUGUGUGCAGCUGGGCAGACACCGAGACUGCUGGGCAGCUCAUCAACGUGACCCUCCAUCGCAGGCUAAAAGGGGACCAUCCCCAGCCAGUGUCCUGUGAACUCACGGAGAGCCUGCUCUGGUCACUGUGCCCAUCUCCGCCCUGUGUGCCUAGAAGAUGCCAUUCCCUA
rnacentral:lncRNA from 1 species